rnacentral:rRNA from 1 species
GUUCUCUCCGAAAUAGCUUUAGGGCUAGCCUCGAGGUAAAGAGUCAUGGAGGUAGAGCACUGUUUGGACUAGGGGCCCUUCUCGGGUUACCGAAUUCAGAUAAACUCCGAAUGCCAUGUACUUAUACUCGGGAGUCAGACUGCGAGUGAUAAGAUCCGUAGUCGAAAGGGAAACAGCCCAGACCACCAGUUAAGGUCCCCAAAUAUAUGUUAAGUGGAAAAGGAUGUGGGGUUGCUUAGACAACCAGGAUGUUGGCUUAGAAGCAGCCACCAUUGAAAGAGUGCGUAAUAGCUCACUGGUCGAGUGACCCCGCGCCGAAAAUGUACCGGGGCUAAACAUAUUACCGAAACUGUGGAUGAACCUCUUUAGAGGUUCGUGGUAGGAGAGCGUUCUAAGGGCGGUGAAGUCAGACCGGAAGGACUGGUGGAGCGCUUAGAAGUGAGAAUGCCGGUAUGAGUAGCGAAAGAAGGGUGAGAAUCCCUUCCACCGAAUAUCUAAGGUUUCCUGAGGAAGGCUCGUCCGCUCAGGGUUAGUCGGGACCUAAGCCGAGGCCGAUAGGCGUAGGCGAUGGACAACAGGUAGAGAUUCCUGUACCAGUGCUAAUUGUUUAACCGAUGGGGUGACACAGAAGGAUAGGGAAUCGCACGAAUGGAAAUGUGCGUCCAAGCAGUGAGUGUGAGAAGUAGGCAAAUCCGCUUCUCGCGAAGCAUGAGCUGUGAUGGGGAAGGAAAUUAAGUACGGAAGUUCCUGAUUUCACGCUGUCAAGAAAAGCCUCUAGGAAGAGUAGUACUGCCCGUACCGCAAACCGACACAGGUAGAUGAGGAGAGAAUCCUAAGGUGAGCGAGAGAACUCUCGUUAAGGAACUCGGCAAAAUGACCCCGUAACUUCGGGAGAAGGGGUGCUCUAUUAGGGUGCAAGCCCGAGAGAGCCGCAGUGAAUAGGCCCAGGCGACUGUUUAGCAAAAACACAGGUCUCUGCAAAACCGUAAGGUGACGUAUAGGGGCUGACGCCUGCCCGGUGCUGGAAGGUUAAGAGGAGUGCUUAGCUUCGGCGAAGGUACGAAUUGAAGCCCCAGUAAACGGCGGCCGUAACUAUAACGGUCCUAAGGUAGCGAAAUUCCUUGUCGGGUAAGUUCCGACCCGCACGAAAGGCGCAACGAUCUGGGCACUGUCUCAACGAGAGACUCGGUGAAAUUAUAGUACCUGUGAAGAUGCAGGUUACCCGCGACAGGACGGAAAGACCCCGUGGAGCUUUACUGCAACCUGAUAUGGAAUGUUUGUACCGCUUGUACAGGAUAGGUAGGAGCCGAAGAGACGUGUGCGCUAGCAUACGAGGAGGCAAUGGUGGGAUACUACCCUGGCUGUAUGACCAUUCUAACCCGCCACGCUUAGCGCGUGGGGAGACAGUGUCAGGUGGGCAGUUUGACUGGGGCGGUCGCCUCCUAAAGAGUAACGGAGGCGCCCAAAGGUUCCCUCAGAAUGGAUGGAAAUCAUUCGCAGAGUGUAAAGGCACAAGGGAGCUUGACUGCGAGACUGACAAGUCGAGCAGGGACGAAAGUCGGGCUUAGUGAUCCGGUGGUUCCGCAUGGAAGGGCCAUCGCUCAACGGAUAAAAGCUACCCCGGGGAUAACAGGCUUAUCUCCCCCAAGAGUCCACAUCGACGGGGAGGUUUGGCACCUCGAUGUCGGCUCGUCGCAUCCUGGGGCUGUAGUCGGUCCCAAGGGUUGGGCUGUUCGCCCAUUAAAGCGGCACGCGAGCUGGGUUCAGAACGUCGUGAGACAGUUCGGUCCCUAUCCGUCGCGGGCGCAGGAAAUUUGAGAGGAGCUGUCCUUAGUACGAGAGGACCGGGAUGGACACACCGCUGGUGUACCAGUUGUUCCGCCAGGAGCAUCGCUGGGUAGCUAUGUGUGGCAGGGAUAAACGCUGAAAGCAUCUAAGCGUGAAGCCCCCCUCAAGAUGAGAUUUCCCAUUUCUUCGGAAAGUAAGAUCCCUGAAAGAUGAUCAGGUAGAUAGGUUUGGAGUGGAAGUGUAGCGAUACAUGGAGCGGACAAAUACUAAUCGAUCGAGGACUUAACCAAAA